rnacentral:rRNA from 1 species
ACUCCUGCGGGAGGCAGCAGUGGGGAAUAUUGGACAAUGGGCGCAAGCCUGAUCCAGCCAUGCCGCGUGAGUGAUGAAGGCCCUAGGGUUGUAAAGCUCUUUUGUGCGGGAAGAUAAUGACGGUACCGCAAGAAUAAGCCCCGGCUAACUUCGUGCCAGCAGCCGCGGUAAUACGAAGGGGGCUAGCGUUGCUCGGAAUCACUGGGCGUAAAGGGUGCGUAGGCGGGUCUUUAAGUCAGGGGUGAAAUCCUGGAGCUCAACUCCAGAACUGCCUUUGAUACUGAAGAUCUUGAGUUCGGGAGAGGUGAGUGGAACUGCGAGUAUAGGGGUGAAAUUCGUAGAUAUUCGCAAGAACACCAGUGGCGAAGGCGGCUCACUGGCCCGAUACUGACGCUGAGGCACGAAAGCGUGGGGAGCAAACAGGAUUAGAAACCCCAGUAGUCCCA